ACUGCUGAUGACUUCAAUUAAUAAAUUACAAACUAGAGUUUAUGACAUUUUAAAAUGAUCUGAACAUUAAUCGCUGAAG
rnacentral:snoRNA from 1 species